rnacentral:rRNA from 1 species
UACAGAGGGUGCGAGCGUUAAUCGGAAUUACUGGGCGUAAAGCGUGCGUAGACGGUUACAUAAGUCGGGGUGUGAAAGCUCCGGGCUCAACCUGGGAAUUGCAUUCGAGACUGCGUAGCUAGGGUGCGGAAGAGGGAAGCGGAAUUUCCGGGUGUAGCGGUGAAAUGCGUAGAUAUCGGAAGGAACACCAGUGGCGAAAGCGGCUUCCUGGUCCAGCACCGACGUCAGGCACGAAAGCGUGGGGGAGCAAACAGG